rnacentral:sRNA from 1 species
AUUAAACUCGAUGGUGCAUUAUUCUAGUUGUACUGUCUAUUAUGAAGGUGGGGCUAAAAAUCCACACAUGAUUUAUUAGAUAAAGUUUCUUAUGUCGUGCGCAAAAUGCCAGUUUUGCGUGGGUAUGGGAAGUAAAGAAUUUAGGAUAGAAUAUAACGGCAUAUAUUUGGAUUCCUAUUUUCGUUAUCACCAUUUUUUACUUGUUGUGAUAUAAUCUAUUUUGAGUGUACAUAUCAAAUUGUAUGCGAUAAAUCUGUUUUGAGUGGUAAUCUUGGGAUUAGUCAGUAUUUUAUAAAAAAGCGCGGCCACGUUUUCUUAUGAAAGAUUAUGAAAUCAUUAUUGCAAAAGAAACUAAUAAUAGAUCAAGUACAUUAAGGAAAACUUCUAGAAUGUUUGUUUCAAUCAAGAAGCUUGGAAAUUUAGGGAUUAAGGUACGGAUUUUAGUGGCGAUCUAGCUUUCCGAAACUUUUAAGGAAUGCUUUUUUAAAUGGAAACAGCUAAGCAGUAAUGCUUAGUAAAAAGUAGAGAAAUUCUGCUAGACCUUAUACCGUAAAAUUUACUUAAAUUUCUACCAUCUUAAAUU